GGACUACUCGGGUAUCUAAUCCUGUUUGCUCCCCACGCUUUCGCAUCUGAGUGUCAGUAUCUGUCCAGGGGGCCGCCUUCGCCACCGGUAUUCCUUCAGAUCUCUACGCAUUUCACCGCUACACCUGAAAUUCUACCCCCCUCUACAGUACUCUAGCUUGUCAGUUUCAAAUGCGAUUCCUAGGUUGAGCCCAGGGCUUUCACAUCUGACUUAACAAACCACCUGCAUGCGCUUUACGCCCAGUAAUUCCGAUUAACGCUUGCACCCUCCGUAUUACCGCGGCGGCUGGCAC
rnacentral:misc_RNA from 1 species